ensembl:lncRNA
GCCUGAUGAAUGAGGAGCGUUAACCAUUUAAAUCCCCGCAGCAAAUUCUCACAGUUAUCUGAAAUGCGGGACGAUCGUCUCAUUUCGGAGCCCAAACCGGGUGGUUUUGGUCUUGUUCAGCUGCAGCUCUGCGCUGUCAGGACUCUCUUGCUGCAAGCACCCAGCAGAAGCACACGUGGAACUGCAUGGCACGAUGAGCUUUUGUCAACACGUGGAUGGACUGUCAUGACAUGAGGAUGGACGGUCGUGAUACGAGGAUGGGCUGUGACAACACGCCAAGUUUCUGGGUGCAGGUGGGAGCUGUCCAGCAGGGCCCAGAGCUCUGUUCUGCUGCACCAGGCAAACACCAGGGAUCAGUUUUUUCUCCUGUAAAGGCAAGAGAAAUGGGUGUUUUAAAAAUGUCCUCAUGGAGGGGAGAUUACUGUUGUGUACAUAUAAAGUUACCUAUCUCAGACCUCAGUUAUAUCAUCACUGAGCAUACAGUGCUCAGCUGAGCCUUUGUCAGCUGCUGAUAUUAAGGACACAUUGAAGAACAGAUUUAUUGGGCUGCUGUCUGCAGUGAGCACACUAGAGGAGAAGUAAGACUGUCCCAUUGCAAGAGGUUUCAUUCUACUUCGUGCUGAACCAAAAGGAAUCGAUCAGUCUUCCAGGAAUGACACUGCCUUGGAAUGCCUCUUGCAGCUUUGCAGGAAGACCAGAGGGGCUGCACCUGGACCUGGGGAUUCCACCUAGGGCAGUAACAACCUUCCUGGGUAUCCUGAGCACGAGGAGACAAAUUUGCAGGGACAGCUGGAGGAGCACAUGGGAUGGUGUGCAGCACAGAGGAGGGAGCCGACAUGAGAAAAGCACCAAGAACAAUGUGAGCAUGACCCAGGACUGCCCACCUCCAGGCUCCUUCCAGCAACAUGCUGCUCCUUCCAGGUGGAGCCACAGCAAGACAACUGUGGGAACACAAUCUCAGACUUCAGCAUCCUCAGUUCCCAACCACUUUGCUACCCAACCUCCGAUGUCUGUUAAGCUCUCCUUUCCUAUGGUCAAGAUGAAGCCUAACGUGGUGGCUGGUUAUCUCACAUCAGCUUAAUGCAAGCUCCUUCUCACUGCCUGCCCUGAGCACACCAUCAAGCAUUGGUGCUCAGACACGUCAGGAGGAGGUACUGUGCAAACGCCCUGCAAAGGGAUUCUGCAGGUAGAAGACAAGAGACAAUGAGACGUACAAGGGCAGCAAUAAUGGGCUACUUAGGUCAAAGUUUUCUUCCUUGAUACUACGAUGCAGCCCCAAAGUCUCAUUCUACACAGACCCCAUCCCACACACCCAAAUCUCAGACUCAUCAGAAUGCAGAUGACCACAGCUUGCUGCAGUGCUGCACUCAGCCUUCUCCUGCAUUAUUUAUGGUUAUUCUCUUUGGGAAAGAAAAUAAACAACAACAACAAACAACAAAAAACAACAAAUAGUUUACACGCUUUUAAAACUCAUAAAUAUAACAAACCCAAGGCAAUUUGGCAAACCUGCCUUAUGGCUGGUGGCCCACCUUGGGCCUGCUCAUGUGGUCGUGCUGACAUGUCUUUCUACCUCCAAGGAAUCUGUCACUUGGAGCCAAUCUAUCACAGUGACACACCGCUCAGAACACUUCUUUCUCUUUAUUCAUCCAUUACUUCACUUCCUGCCAUCCAUCUCCCUUGAGAUUUCUUUUCCUUAUUUUUAAUACCUGUGCCAAGUUGUAUCGCUGCCAUCUAUUUACCCACUGUGAUCAUCAGACUAAAACCAGAAAGAGACUGAAGCCAUCGGGCCAAAAUCUGAUUACCUGCAUCUCUUUUUAUUCACGUAUCAUUGAUGGUAUCUGGAGAACUGAACGUGCACUGAGUUUGAAUGAAUACAUUUCACAUAUGAGUGAGUUAAACAGAGAAUUCUGCUUCACAGGUACUGGGGGGAGGGGAGGGGGAAUGACGGUAUUAGCUUAGAUUUCCCAAAAAGCUCUAGAAAAAAACCCUGAGAUUUUUUUUAUCUAUCUAUCUAUCUAUCUAUCUAUCUAUCUAUCCAUCCGUCCAUCCAUCCGUCCAUCCAUCCAUAUAUAUUCUGGAAAUGUUCUGUUUAUUCUCUGGGGAUUGUGACCUUGGGGUGAACCCCACGGAGACCCCACAUUUUCAAGAUGUUCUUUGUUAUCACAUGUUUUAAGAUUACUUUACAGGUCCACGGAAGAAAAGCUUCUCAUACAACCAUUUGUUUCUCUAAGAACUUCAGUUCUAAAUGAAACAUCAAAUAUCGUGGGAGCUGGUAACCCGAAACCCAACAGUUUGUAUCAAGAAACUGCUUGAUACAACAGUGAGUGCUCUGAAAGCAGGCAUUCAUUUCCAGAAGUGCCAUCAGCUGGCCACGUAUUGAUACGUCCCCAGAACUCAUGAAGUUUGCAGACAUGCAUCCUUAGACAGGCACUACUGAAUUAGAGCAUUUUCCCUCUUUUCUCAGAAAUGCACGGAUGGAAUUUCCAUAAUGUAUUGCAGAUAACACACAAUUCCACGUAAAGCCUGAAUAAAUACAAUCAGUGUUCCUUGAAUGAAUGUUGAUAAGGAGCAGGGCAGGAGAGCGGCUGACAGGCUGCCAUGCUGGGCCAGAGCCCAUCUGCACCCACCCACGGGGUAGGACAGCGUAUGUGCGAGAUGUCCUCUGGCUGUGGAGGGACAUCCCAAAGGAAAAGCUGGAGAGCCCAUUCCUUAGGCUACACAGGUGAAUCUAUGGAUGAUGAUUUUUGUCCUUCCUAUUUCGUAUUAUCAGUAGCACGCUUUUGCUAGGCGGAGCAUCAGGUGAGCUAAACGUGUUCAUGGUCUUCACUAGCACAAAUUCAGUGCAGAGCUGUACAGAAAUUAGGGGACAGCCUGCAACACCCCCGGGACAAGCAAACUGGGGUUUGCACUGUGGUAUGCAUGUGGGCUUCACACACUGUCAAUCCUUUCUUUGUUUCCUGAAAUUUCAAGCUCCUUGCAAGCCCUUAGCUAUAUAAUGCCUUAUUUUAGCAUAACUGUUCCUGAUAAAUCCCUGUAGAUACCAAAAUAUGUGAAAAGCAGCUUAGCCCUGGGGAACACCCCCAGUCCCUCAUUAGAAAAAGAUGGGGUAGAGUAUCUUAAAGCAAACAAAAAAAGUGAUGUCCCUGUUAUAGAAUUCCGCGACUUGAGGUAAACCAACCCUAGCCCAGGAAACUGUAUCCUGGGUUACUCAUUCGGAGUAUUCCUCCCUGAGCGGCUGCUUGUUUGUGUACGGCUGCCCCGGGCUAUUGCUGCAAAAUUCCUCGUGCUGAAGCAACUCCAUUCAUACGGGCAGGGCCUGAAAUAACGCACAGCCAGGCUGACUCCCAGCCCAACACGGGUAGCUGCAGUUACAGCCCGACUGAUCCGAGUUCAGUCAUCUUUACACACAGCACUAUCUAUUGAAUUGAAAACACAGGGAAACAAAGCUGGAGGGAGAAACUGCCAGUGUUUGUCUACGUUGUGCAUCCAGCAGACCUCCCCCACAUCUCAAAGGGUUAUAGAAUGUAUUAACUGAGCUUCAGAAUGCCUAAUAAGUACGUAAUUGCAGACUAAUUUCCCCUUUCCUAGACGUGAAUUUACAGUGGUGGCAAAAAAGGAAUGAAGCAAACAAACAAAAAGCACAGUUUUCUUCAAACUUGAAAGUGCUGAGAGCUGAUGCUGUCGCGGUGAGCUGUGCUGGUGGGGGUUUGGCACAAGAAGGGCAACUUGGAGCAGGUAAUGGCUGGGUGCCCCCAGAGCCGCCUACGCCUGCUCCAGCCCCAUGCCCAUCCCCUGUGCCCACAAACGAUUUCUUUGUGUCUGUGGUCUGAGGAAAUGAGCCAGCUGAGUUAGCAACUUCUUUGCUGGCUGUUUCUCAGUGACUGCAGCAUAAAAAGCACAGGAGAAAGGAGGGAGCACCUAGCUGUGUUGCUGUUCAGUGCUGAUGCUAAAUGCCAUCAGGCUAAAGCUGGCUCCAUGAACAUGGAAACCCAUCCAAAGUCUCAUGCCACCCAAACUAAAGGCUUCUCCCAUCUUUAUGCAGUAACUUCACCCUGAGAGAAAACACCGCUUCUCCUGAUUGCAUCUUUGUCGUCUUCUGCGAAUAACUGAUUGCCCGAGAUAGAAGGGGAAAUGAGGGUGACAGCCUGCUUGCUGGUCAGACAGUCUCUAAUGGAGGCCACAAAGAUGGCGAUCUGGCGCACACACGGUGUGUGAUGAGCAGCUGAGCUCCCUUUGUUUGUUCAGCCUGGAGCAGAGACUGAGGGGAGGCCCAGCAAUGGCUGCAGCUCCUCAUGGGGCAAUGGGGACCGGGGGGGUGGCUCUGGGGAGGAGCUCGGUGGGGGAAGGCUGCACCCCAGAGAGUGGUGGGACACCACUGGCACACGGGGUUGGGCUUUGGGGUGGUUCUGUGUGAGGCCGGGGGCUGAGCUGUUCUUGGGAUGCCACUUGGGAUGUUCUGCAGUUGCACAUUGUUGAGGGAACGCCCUGCAAAUCAAUGAUGCAUGAUCAAGUCUGUCAGCCCUUGGGCAACAGUGUUACACCUCGUUGACACAGCUGCAGGGCUGAUAAAUAAAUGCGUUUUUCAGGGCUGCCUCAGGUGGCCCCCAAGUUUUCUCCUCCUUAUUUUUCUCAAAAGAACAAUACCAACAGGUUUCAGCAUCCUAAAGCCUACCAGUAAACCUCAGAAAUCAAACUGCAACCGGAGAAGCUGUGGAGGAAACUUAAUAUAUGAAAAAUGAUCUUCUAAAAAUCAUACAGGAUGUUCCUUCACCAAUUCUCUGUAUUGAUUCCUGUAACAUCAUCUUCUUUCUCCUUUUCUUCUUUUAAUGCAUUUCUAUUUCUUCCAAACACAGGAAAAAAAAAAAAACCAAAAAACGCAAACAUUUCCUUUACAAAACAGAACAAAGAGGUUUUUCUUUCCAAUCAGUAAUUUCGUUUUCUUUUGUAAAUGUAAGGAGAAACUCCUGAAAAAUCAAUAUAUCGUUGUCAAGUCACACACAGUCGGGAAUGGUGCAAGCUUAGUAAAUAAAGGAAAUUGCAAUGUUUCCCUCUCUUCAGUUGGCCUUCAGUGCAUCCAAGGUGACUGCCCAGCCCCGCCGUGCUCCUGGUUUGCUCCUCUGAAAAUGCAAAAGCUGAUCUCGGAGAUGAAAAGCAAAGUUUGAAAAGAAUUGUUCUUGGAGUCAAAAUUCCUGGUGUCCUAAAUUACAGCAACCCCCACCCGGAGCGAUUGGCUCCUCGGGGUAAUCUGAGCUCUCUCAAUUAACUGGCACAGAGAUAAAGAUUGCUCAUGCUAAAGUUGUCACAUAACACCGGGCUUAGAAAUUGGAAAAUCUCAAGCACAAGAAAGGUACCUUUUCACUUGUAUCUACAGCCUCAGCGUGUAUCAAUAUUUGGAUUUGGUUUAUACUCUCUUGAUGUGCAAAACGGAGGGAAUUAUAUACUGAAACAAAAGAAAAGGACUUUUUGUUGGAUUACCAUGUUAAUUAAAAUGUGGAAGACACCAUUUACCAUCUGAACACUUCAGAGUUUGAGUCUGUUGCUUUUGCAAGGCACAACGGGCAUCUGCAAAGUACGUGUGGAGUUCUGAAGCUCAGAUGUAAACCCCUUACAGACCCAAGAGGGGAAGAAGAUAUUUUAACGAGUUGUUUUGCACCUGCAAUUAAACAGACAUGCAGGCAAGUCUAAUUUACACUGAAACUUAAUUGCAAGCAUAAAUCUUGUGUAUACGUAUGACAUAAAUAAAACCUCUCCUAGCUGUUCAUGUUCUGUUACAAAGGAGCCGAGUCCCAUAGCUUUGUUUUGUUUUGUUUUGUGAUUAUAGGUUUUCUUUUGGGGUACGGCAUUGUUUUAAUGCAUCUGUCAUCGUCCCUGAAAAUACCCAGUUGUGGAGUGUCAAAAAAAUACCCAACAAAUGAGAUGCAGUUCGUCUUGGAGUUCCUCUGAACACUGGUGCCACUGACAGCCAGCAGCCAGGGUGGGUGAACGGGGGUGUGUGGGCCAUCAUUCAUGAAGUGAGCAUCCUGCAAAGGGGCUCUGCUGCUGUGGCAUGUUUGUGGAGGGAGCCGGGAUCGAGAGCACUACAAGGAAUGGCUCAGGGGAUUAUAGAACUGCUGAGGUCACUUUUAUCUUCUAAACAAUAUUUCAUGUGUGGAAAGGCACUUUGAGCCUCCUGGGGUGAGCACCGUAUGACUCCGGGUCGGCAGCCCUUACACCAAGAGCAGCUUCAUGAUGAAACCUAAAGCAGAAGGUAACAACAGAGCAUCCCCAAACCAACCAAGAAGCACUCCGGGGUGGAUGCCUUCCCCUGAAACAUCUCAUGCAAUUUAUUUCCAUAUCAGCUUGAAUAUUUGAAGGUUUUUGAGGGUUAGGAGAGGACACUGAAUGAGGCCAAGACGUAGAAGACUGAAGAGACCCAAAGCCACAGCAGAGCACCACGUCCAUCCUCCACAUAAAGCUGAUAUCUUUAUGGAGACUCACACUGAAGUAGGACUGGAUCUGUGAGGGUCAAAUUCUGAUUUUGUUGUUGGGAAAGGAUAGGCAGUGAAGGGGCUGCUAGAUUUGUUUCACUUCUCUCACAAAACGUAUUCCUGCCUGAAUUAUGAACCUGCUGUUAUGCUGAUAAGCCUGUUUAUGGUGUGACCUACUUAACCACAGCUCUGGUGGCUCGAGGCUCGCAGCAGCGCAAAGGCCAAAGGCCCCAAACAGGAAAAGAUAUCAUAUGGGGGAAAAAAAGUUUCCAAGCCUUUGUCCUUUACAUGCUGCAAGGUGUCAAGCACUGAACCAGCGCUGAGACCAUUGUUCAACCAACUGCUCUUUUCAAAUGGAAAUGUCUGCAAAAGCCAUGUCAGCAAAAGGAAUUCAUUGCUUCAACGUGGCUCCUAGCUUAUAUCCUACAAUAAAACCUGAG